GAAAUGCGAUAAGUAGUGUGAAUUGCAGAAUUCAGUGAAUCAUCGAAUCUUUGAACGCACAUUGCGCCCUUUGGUAUUCCAAAGGGCAUGCCUGUUCGAGCGUCAUUUGUACCUCAAGCUUUGCUUGGUGUUGGGCGUCUUGUCUCUAGCUUUGCUGGAGACUCGCCUUAAAGUAAUUGGCAGCCGGCCUACUGGUUUCGGAGCGCAGCACAAGUCGCACUCUCUAUCAGCAAAGGUCUAGCAUCCAUUAAGCCUUUUUUCAACUUUUGACCUCGGAUCAGGUAGGGAUACCCGCUGAACUUAAGC
rnacentral:misc_RNA from 1 species